GACAGAGGGUGCAAACGUUGUUCGGAAUUACUGGGCGUAAAGCGCGUGUAGGCGGUCGGGCAAGUCGGAUGUGAAAGCCCAGGGCUCAACCCUGGAAGUGCACUCGAUACUGCUCGGCUAGAGUCCCGGAGAGGAUGGUGGAACCCUCGGUGUAGAGGUGAAAUUCGUAGAUAUCGAGAAGAACAUCGGUGGCGAAGGCGGCCAUCUGGACGGUGACUGGCGCUGAGACGCGAAAGCGUGGGGAGCAAACAGG
rnacentral:rRNA from 1 species